ensembl:lncRNA
AUAUAUAUAUAUAUAUAUAUAUAUAAUAACAAAACUUUCAGAAAUGUCAUUGAGUCAUUCAUUCAGUGCAUUGAUUCAUUCAGGAAGGAAGUAAAUGGCUCUCUUUAUAAAUGGGACUUUGAAUCAUUAGUUCACCUGAUUCGUUCAAAUGCAGAUUCAUUCAGAAACAAAUCUUCUGUGUUGUUGUAAGAACAUGUAUAACUGCAUUUAUGGACUACAUCAGGCAGUGAGUUGUUGCUCUGUAUCAGUUUGUUGUGCACUAAUAUGUUACUUUGAUUAUGUCCUCACAGGCUUGAACAACUGGCCAAGACAUCGGAGAGGCCGCCGUCCGUGGCUGCGGAGGCCUGUCCCUGACGCGUCUCAUUGGAUACACUUCGAGGCGAUUGAUUCAUCUGUGCAUGCCAUUUUCCAAAAAUGUUGGAUUUUAAAGAACAAUCAUGUUCAGCGGCUGAACACAAUCAUCAUCAUCAUCUCAAAACACAAUAACGAUGUUUGUGACACUCUGUCUGACGUUUUUCGAUACACACUGACCUUUGACCUGGACCACAGCCGGACCGCAGCUGAGUAAGUGUGAACAAGAGGACUGAAGAGGAACAUCUGUGCAAACUCAAACAUCUUGUGUCACAGUCAUUUGUGUUGUGCAGAUGUAAAACGUGGGAUGUUUAAUACCAGCACGAUUUUAACUUGAUGGGAAACGCAUUCAGCCUGUUACAUUAUGCAGCAGUUUACAUGAAAUCCUGUUUGCCUUCAUAAUCUUUCAUUGGACAACUUGACAUAAAAAACAACCAAGCACCAAAAAUUAUUUAGUCACAGUUUUGGGUUGUUGCCGAAGGUAACAUAUUAUUUUCUAACAUCUUGGUUAAAGGAAUAGUUCAAUUAGCCCAUUCAGGAUGCAGGGGAAUUUGUUUUUUCAUCCGAUUUGGAGAAAUGUAGCAUUGCAUCAGUGUAUGCAGUGAAUGGGUGCCAUCUAAAUGAGAGUCCAAACUGACGGCACCCAUUCACUGCAGACACUGAUGCAAUGCUACAUUUCUCCAAAUUUGGCGAAGAAACAAACUCAUCUACAUCUUGAAUUACCUGAGGGAGAGGACAUAUUAAGCAAAUAUUCAGCAAAUUUCGGGGUGGACUAUUCCUUUAAUACAGCAGUUCAAUAGUGGUUAAGCUAUAAUAAUAUUAGUGUACAGCAAUAAUAGCAAAUAAGGAUUUUAUAAAGAAAAAAGCUUGACCUUCAUGUUGACUUUUAAACUCAUCAAGACAGUAUGUGAAGGUCAUGUGCUCAUAAAGUGAGCUGUACAUACUGUGUGUCACUGGCACUGGAACUUUACAACUGUAAUAUUUGUGCUUAUUUAGUAUCAGGGGCUGUGUUCCGAAUGGAAUACUGGCAUACUGCAUAGUAUGCACAAUGCAUACUUAUUUUUUUAAGCAUAUUUGGAACAGUAUGCAAUGAUAAACGCUUCUUACUGCUAUAUUGCUGUCACAAGACCUCAUUGUAUUGCAUGUUUUAUUCAACUCUUUUUAAUGCACUUAAAUCUGAAAAUGUCUUAACCUUUGUCCGUCAAAUCAAAUGAGGCAAGAUUUUAACAUUUAUGGCUGAUAUGAUUUACUUUUCAUCCCACUCGAAAUUGAAGAUCAAGUUGAGUGUGUUUCAUUGUGCAAUACAGUACAGAAAACUCCAUGCACAAUAUGCAUACUGUAGAAGAAGCACUGUAGUGUGAUACUCCAAACACAGCAGAAGUGUUGCACUCAGAGCGUCGUCUGAAAUCACUGGAAGUAAACCAUGUACAUAGACUCUUUCAUGCAGCUCUGCGGUACAAACUUGUGUGCUUCCAACUCAAACUUCCUAAUUAUGACGUCACAGGAGGCGGAGCUUAUUUUCCUUCCCUUCAUAAUGCAUUAUGGGUACAGAGAGAGGAUUCAGUGAGUUCUUAUAACAAAUGUUUCAAUAACAAUUUACAGGAAGGUUCUACUCGUUAUCAUUAGUGAACUGCAUCAGUUAAAAUAAACUAAUAAUUUAAUUAACUUAAGCAUUGUAUUAAAGCACACUAAAUGUUUAAUUUCUGUAUGGAGGACAAGCUUGCAAAAAUAAAUAAAAUAAAAAUAAAAUAAAUAAAUAUAAUAAUGGAAAAAUAAAUUAAACAAAACAUUUUUUUAAUGAUACAAUUAAAAGUAUCCUAAAUUUCCUCUUUAUUUUAUUAUGUUCGUAAUUUAUUUGUAGCAUUAUUUUUAUAUUUAUUUAUUCUCACACGUAAGGUCCUCCAUAGAUUUCAAUACAUUGUUAAAAUUAAAAAAUGUAUCUGUUAGCAUUAUUUAAUGAACCUGAAUUACAUGAACUAACAGAAAAACAGUGGUUUUUAAGAAAUGUUAGCAAAUAUUAAUACUGAAAUGUGAUGUGGAUUAACCAAUCAGUAUGCAAGUGCUCAUAAUGUUUUCUGAAGGGAUAAUUAAAGCCGCAUUAUUGUAUAAUGUACAUUAUCAGACUGUACAACAGUGUACUGUGUGUAAAUCAUCUGUAUCAUAGGAAAUGCAAUAAGUGAAUGAGUUGCUAACAUCGAUGAUGUGAUAAUUAAUAAAAGGUCAAUUUAACUGUAAAACUAUGUAUUACAGUCUCUUGAUUCCUUUUCAGUAAGGAGGUUCAACCAACCCUGAGUUGACUAAACCUGAGAUGAGAAACUCAGAGUUUUCCUCAUUUCAGGGUUAACAUACUCAGAGUUUUCACUUAACCUCGUCUGAACCUCGAAGCGAGAAGUGUUUGCAAUCAACCUUGCUGUGCAUUAAAUAGAUUUGCAAAACAAUGUUUACUUUGGUAAAAAUGCCAAUCUCUAAACCAGUUACUAUUUUAGUUUAUUUGCUUAUAUAAAAAGCUUAAUGUAAUUUUCACGAUUAUAUGAUAUGAAUAGCUAUCGUUAUAUAAUGUCAGCGUGGUCAAACUUUUGUAGCACUAUAAAACAACUGAACAAGUCAAAACAACAGCAGCAUACACUGUAUACACUAAGAUACUGUACUUUCCAGCCUUUGUUUUGUUAUUGUUUGAGUUUUGAUGUUGUUUGUGUCUGCUCUGAUAAAGCGUUGAUCAUUUGCCCAUUUCAGAAAGGAGGUUAAGUGAAAGCUCUCAGCAUGUUAACACAGAAAUGAGAAAAUCUCUGGGUUUCGAUCUCAGGCUAAGUCAACUCGGAGUUGGUUGAACCUCGUUAUAGCGGAGCCGAACUCACGUAAAAACCAAAACAAUGUUCCUCCACGAGUAACGGAAGUUUCUACGCUUUAUUUUUACUGCUUGAGGGCAAAAGGUUAUAGUGCGUCUAUAAUUCAGUAUGGGCCAGUGACACGUGUCCCAGCAGGCGUAUGUUGUGAGCUGUUCGUGGGUCAGGAAUGAGGUGAGUCAUGCAUGAGUCAUUUACUCACACACUCUUGUGUAAAUACAUCUGAUCUCAGGAUGUCAGAAACAAAACAUUAGAAACUAAUGCAACCUGAGCUUCGUCACCUCAUGCUAUCUGUAAUCUCAAGAGUCAAGUAAAGUCAAGCUGGAGAAACUGAUCAUUUUCAAAGCAAUUUAUGUAUUUAUGACAAUGUUUUGGAACAGAGCUAUUGCCAUCAGGUCUUUUGAUAUUUAAAUGAUAGUCUGGUAUUCAUGUGAGUUGCAUCAGAAGCAUUUGUACCGUGUCACACAUAGACAUCAUGCCAAAUAUAGCUCUUUGGCUGCAUCCGCUAAGAGCUGAUUAAGUAUGGAACUAUUCACCUCAGGCCAGGAGAAAAGUUCCCUUACACUGUUCCAACAAGACGAGGCAAGUAAUUGGAAACAAUUUGAUCAGGAUGGUCAAGUAUCAUGAGAGGAAACAUACUGAAAUACCACGCACAUGUCUUGUCUUUAUUUAACAUGUGGCUCUGAGAUCUGCACUUCCAUAUUGAUUAACAACCAUCCAAAUUGCAUAAAUCACAAACAUAAAUCAAUCAUAGGUCUGUUCUUGCAGUCAUCUCUCUCUCUCUCUCUCUCUCUCUCUCUCUCUCUCUCGUAAACUACAAGCUUAAACAUUCUGUGUAAGUACUUGAUGAUGUUGAAAAUGAAUAAUCACAUGUGGGAUUCUGGCCAGACUGGAGUUCACAGAGUAAAAUGACCCAUGAAAUGUAGGGCAGAAAUAAUGUGUAGAAACAAGUGUACCACAUACUGUGCAUUCGGGAACAAAUAUAUUAUACUUGUAUGUCAUAUCACAGCUAGAAGUUUGAGGACAUAUUAAAAAAAAACACCUUUAUUUGUUAAAAUAAUGAUAUCACCAUUAUUUAUUUGGAAUAAAAAAUAAUCCUUUAUUUAUUAUUUUA